UACGGGGGGGGCAAGCGUUGUUCGGAAUUACUGGGCGUAAAGGGCUCGUAGGCGGCCAACUAAGUCGGAUGUGAAAUCCCCAGGCUCAACCUGGGAACUGCAUCCGAUACUGGAUGGCUUGAAUUCGGGAGAGGGAUGCAGAAUUCCAGGUGUAGCGGUGAAAUGCGUAGAUAUCUGGAGGAAUACCGGUGGCGAAGGCGGCAUCCUGGACCGACAUUGACGCUGAGGAGCGAAAGCCAGGGGAGCAAAAGGG
rnacentral:rRNA from 1 species